GACGUAGGGCGCGAGCGUUGUCCGGAUUUAUUGGGCGUAAAGAGCUCGUAGGCGGCUCGUUGCGUCGGCUGUGAAAACCCGCAGCUCAACUGUGGGCUUGCAGCUGAUACGGGCGGGCUGGGAUUCGGUAGGGGAGACUGGAAUUCCUGGUGUAGCGGUGAAAUGCGCAGAUAUCAGGAGGAACACCGGUGGCGAAGGCGGGACUCUGGGCCGAUACUGACGCUGAGGAGCGAAAGCGUGGGGAGCGAACAGG
rnacentral:rRNA from 1 species